GGCAGUAAGCAGGUUCACUGCUUCUCAAUUCUAUAGCAGCUACUGGAGUGGGAACAUCAGCAGCAGCAGCUGUGAAGGGACUGGGCUAUGUCAGUGAUUCAGCAGUGAAGGUUAUUCCUUUUUUACUGCUGUGGUGACUCCACUUCUCCUGGUUCCAAGGUGGCUAUCACUUCAAUUUUGGACUAUUGCCCAUACAGUUUGGCAUAUGAGCAUUGUUGUUUAAAUCACUCUUGUGCUCUUUUUCUUACACUUCAAUAGGUUCUCUUGCCGCCGCCACCCCCACUAAACUUGAAGCAUCAUGAAAAAUGGAAGUAGCUGGGAAGCCGUGCCAAGAAUCCAGACCAGUUCUGAGGGCAACUUUGUAAAGAACUCAGAUGCAAUUGGGAACUAAGUGACUAAAACAAAAUGGAGGGGAGCAGAUACAUGGAUGUACUUGUACUGUACAGAGUACUGUACAAAGGGCCAGGAAGUCUGUGGAAUACAAUGAUUCCUGAUAACAGCCAACAGAAGAUAGAAUCAAGAUCGCUAUCCUGGACUAAUAUCCUGAGACUGACCAAUAAUUGUCAGAAGACAGGAUCUAGAGGAGAACAGCAAAUUACACUUUUGAGAUCCAUGAUGGAAACUACUAUCUUGAAAGAACUCCUAGUUCAGAUCUAUAGAAUCCAGUUGCUAUAAAAAGUGUUCUCCAGACAUGGCAA